rnacentral:rRNA from 1 species
GAUGAACGCUGGCGGCGUGCCUAAUACAUGCAAGUCGAGCGAACAGACGAGGAGCUUGCUCCUCUGACGUUAGCGGCGGGCGGGUGAGUAACACGUGGAUAACCUACCUAUAAGACUGGGAUAACUUCGGAAAACCGGAGCUAAUACCGGAUAAUAUAUUGAACCGCAUGGUUCAAUAGUGAAAGACGGUUUUGCUGUCACUUAUAGAUGGAUCCGCGCCGCAUUAGCUAGUUGGUAAGGUAACGGCUUACCAAGGCAACGAUGCGUAGCCGACCUGAGAGGGUGAUCGGCCACACUGGAACUGAGACACGGUCCAGACUCCUACGGGAGGCAGCAGUAGGGAAUCUUCCGCAAUGGGCGAAAGCCUGACGGAGCAACGCCGCGUGAGUGAUGAAGGUCUUCGGAUCGUAAAACUCUGUUAUUAGGGAAGAACAAAUGUGUAAGUAACUAUGCACGUCUUGACGGUACCUAAUCAGAAAGCCACGGCUAACUACGU